rnacentral:rRNA from 1 species
AUUGCACGCUGGCGGCAUGCUUUACACAUGCAAGUCGGACGAGUGGCGGACGGGUGAGUAAUAUAUUGGAACGUACCGAGUAAUGGGGGAUAACCACUCGAAAGAUUGGCUAAUACCGCAUAUUAUUCGAGCGGCCCAUAUUGGAUUAGCUAGUUGGUGGGGUAAAGGCCGACCAAGGCGACGAUCAGUAGCGGGUCUGAGAGGAUGAUCCGCCACACUGGGACUGAGACACGGCCCAGACUCCUACGGUAGGCAGCAGUGGGUAAGUUUGGACAAGGGGCGCAAGCCUGAUCCAGCCAUGCCGCGUGUCUGAAGAAGGCCUUCGGGUUGUAAAGGACUUUUGGUAGGGAAGCGGUACCUACAGAAGAAGCACCGGCUAACUACGUGCCAGCAGCCGCGGUAAUUC